AGUCGCAUGGACGUGUGCGUGUGCGUGCCCCUCUGCCAUUUUCCCGUUGUGUCUCCGUGCCGCUGCCCUGCUCCUCGUCUUCCCCGCCCCCUCCAUGCGCGUGUGCGUGUGCGGGCGAGGCGGCUGAUCGAGGGGACGACGAGGUGGAGAGCAGCCACGGCACCGCAGCGCUGGGGAUACAUGGGCAGUGUGCAGGAGCAGCGGAGGAGAGGCACGCACACGCACUCUGGCAAGGGAGUAGUGGUGCGGAGGCCGCAGGGGAAUACGCAGCGGAGCGAGUGGGUACGGAGGCGGAGCGGAGGAGAGGCAGCGCUGCUUCUCUGUUCGCCCCGCUUGCGUUGGACUCGAGUGUGUCUGCGUGUGCGCCCCCUGCGGCCCUCGGCCCCCUCGCCUCUCUUGCGCGCUUCGCGUCGCUUGUUUCGUUGCUGUGGCUGUCUAACUACGCCAUCGAGUCGGCCAGAGUCGCGUGCGCGGAGUAUUCACACCAUAUUACGGCAUGCGGCAUGCACCUACACCAGCCCCUGCGGCCUGCACGGCAGACGCCGCCGCCUCCGCCCUCGAGCAGGACCCUGCACCGGGGUCCGUGUGGCGCCGGUCGCGCUGCACGCGUGCGAGGGCGAUACGCGGAGGGACAAGGCGAGCCCGCUAGCAGCAUGGGCCGACUCGACGGCUGAACGGCUCGUCGUGGACGGCGCGGAUGUGGCCGCCGUGCGACAGGGGUGGGUGGGCUGCGGCUGUAUGCGUACACGUGUCGACUGGGGCGUGGUGUAACGGCAAGCAGGGACGAAUUUGUAUACAUUAAGCUGCUCUAACAAGCAAGUGACAGGGGAUGAAAUACUCAUGAGCACUUUGGAGGAAGGAAGCCGCGCUCGUGGUUUGCAGAAAACCCCCCGGACUUUGUUUUCCCCGCCGACCGCCGCCCCCGUGUGCUCGCCCGAGCGGACGGAGCGCGUGCGCGUGCGCCCUUUUCUCCUCGUGCUUCUCCAUUGCUUGUUUUUUGCUUUCUGUCUUUUGUUGUUGUCUCCGUUCCUCGACUG
rnacentral:misc_RNA from 1 species